AUGCAGCAGGCGCGAAACCUUUACACUGCACGACAGUGCGAUAGGGGGAUCCCAAGUGCACAGGCAUAGCGCCUGUGCUUUUCGGCACCCUAAGGCGGUGCCAGAAUAAGGGCUGGGCAAGACCGGUGCCAGCCGCCGCGGUAAUACCGGCAGCCCAAGUGAUGGCCGAUCUUAUUGGGCCUAAAGCGUCCGUAGCUGGCCGCGCAAGUCCAUCGGGAAAUCCACCUGCUCAACAGGUGGGCGCCCGGUAGAAACUGCGUGGCUUGGGACCGGAAGGCGCGACGGGUACGUCCGGGGUAGGAGUGAAAUCCCGUAAUCCUGGACGGACCGCCGAUGGCGAAAGCACGUCGCGAGAACGGAUCCGACAGUGAGGGA
rnacentral:rRNA from 1 species